rnacentral:rRNA from 1 species
UACAGAGGUCUCAAGCGUUGUUCGGAUUCAUUGGGCGUAAAGGGUGCGUAGGCGGCGUGGUAAGUCGGGUGUGAAAUCUCGGAGCUUAACUCCGAAACUGCAUUCGAUACUGCCGUGCUUGAGGACUGGAGAGGAGACUGGAAUUUACGGUGUAGCGGUGAAAUGCGUAGAUAUCGUAAGGAAGACCAGUGGCGAAGGCGGGUCUCUGGGCCGAAAUUGACGCUGAGGAGCGAAAGCGUGGGGAGCAAACAGG